UACGGGGGGGGGCAAGCGUUGUUCGGAAUUACUGGGCGUAAAGGGCUCGUAGGCGGCCAACUAAGUCAGACGUGAAAUCCCUCGGCUUAACCGGGGAACUGCGUCUGAUACUGGAUGGCUUGAGGUUGGGAGAGGGAUGCGGAAUUCCAGGUGUAGCGGUGAAAUGCGUAGAUAUCUGGAGGAACACCGGUGGCGAAGGCGGCAUCC
rnacentral:rRNA from 1 species